AGAGUAUGAUCCUGGCUCAGGAUGAACGCUGGCGGUAUGCUUAACACAUGCAAGUCGAACGAAAGUUUUUAACUUUAGUGGCGAACGGGUGCGUAAUACGUGAGAAUCUGCCCUUAGGAGAAGAAUAACUGCUGGAAACGGCUGCUAAAUCUUCAUAUGCCGAGAGGUGAAAUAGUUUUGACUGCCUAAGGAUGAGCUCAUGCCUGAUUAGCUAGUUGGUGAGGUAACGGCUUACCAAGGCCACGAUCAGUAGCUGGUCUGAGAGAACGAUCAGCCACACUGGGACUGAGACACGGCCCAGACUCCUCCGGGAGGCAGCAGUGAGGAAUUUUCCGCAAUGGGCGAAAGCCUGACGGAGCAAUACCGCGUGAGGGAUGAAGGAUUUUGGUCUGUAAACCUCUUUUCUCAAGAAAGAAGUUCUGACGGUACUUGAGGAAUAAGCAUCGGCUAACUCCGUGCCAGCAGCCGCGGUAAUACGGGGGAUGCAAGCGUUAUCCGGAAUCAUUGGGCGUAAAGCGCCUGUAGGUUGUUUAAUAAGUCUGUUGUUAAAGACUAGGGCUCAACCCUAGAAAAGCAAUGGAAACUACUAGACUAGAGUAU
rnacentral:rRNA from 1 species